rnacentral:tRNA from 1 species
GGAGCUGUGGCUCAGCGGUAGAGCACUCACCUAGCAUGUGCGAGGCCCUGGGUUUGAUCCUCAGCACCA